rnacentral:tRNA from 1 species
GCCUUGCUGGCUCAGUCAGUGGAACAUAAGACUCUUGAUUUUGGGAUUGUGGGUUCAAGCCCCAUGUUGGGUG